rnacentral:rRNA from 1 species
CGAACGGGAGAAGACAGGAAGAUUUAUCUACUUGUUGGACACCGUGGCGGACGGGUGAGUAACACGUAAGCAACCUGCCUAUAAGAGGGGAAUAACAGUGAGAAAUUACUGAUAAUACCGCAUAAGCUGGAGGUAUCGCAUGAUACAUUCAGAAAAGAUUUAUCGCUUAUAGAUGGGCUUGCGUCUGAUUAGCUAGUUGGUGAGAUAACAGCUCACCAAGGCGACGAUCAGUAGCCGGAUUGAGAGGUUGAACGGCCACAUUGGGACUGAGACACGGCCCAGACUCCUACGGGAGGCAGCAGUCGGGAAUAUUGCACAAUGGAGGAAACUCUGAUGCAGUGACACCGCGUAUAGGAAGAAGGUCUUAGGAUUGUAAGCUAUUGUCGUGUGAGAAGAAAAUGACCAUCACAGGAGGAAGCCCUGGCUAAAUAUGUGCCAGCAGCCGCGGUAAUACAUAUGGGGCGAGCGUUAUCCGGAUUUAUUGGGUGUAAAGGGUGCGUAGGCGGGAAAAUAAGUCAGUAUGUGAAAUCCCUCGGCUCAACUGAGGAACUGCAACUGAAACUAUUUUUCUUGAGUGUUGAAGGGGAAAGUGGAAUUCCUAGUGUAGCGGUGAAAUGCGUAGAGAUUAGGAGGAACACCAGUGGCGAAGGCGACUUUC